UCGUAGUGACUGNGGAAGGAUCAU
rnacentral:rRNA from 1 species